rnacentral:rRNA from 1 species
GACGAACGCUGGCGGCGUGCUUAACACAUGCAAGUCGAACGGAAAGGCCCUGCUUUUGUGGGGUGCUCGAGUGGCGAACGGGUGAGUAACACGAGAGUAACCUGCCCUUGACUUUGGGAUAACUUCAGGAAACUGGGGCUAAUACCGGAUAGGAUCUCCUGCUGCUUGGUGGGGGUUGGAAAGUUUCGGCGGUUGGGGAUGGACGCGCGGCUUAUCAGCCUGUUGGUGGGGUUGUUGCUUACCAAGGCUUUGACGGGUAGCCGGCCUGAGAGGGUGACCGGCCACAUUGGGACUGAGAUACGGCCCAGACUCCUACGGGAGGCAGCAGUGGGGAAUAGUGCACAAUGGGCGGAAGCCUGAUGCAGCAACGCCGCGUGCGGGAUGACGGCCUUCGGGUUGUAAACCGCUUUCGCCUGUGACGAAGCGUGAGUGACGGUAAUGGGUAAAGAAGCACCGGCUAACUACGUG